CGUUAACUGAAUACAUAGGUUAACGAGGCGAACCGGGGGAACUGAAACAUCUAAGUACCCCGAGGAAAAGAAAUCAACCGAGAUUCCCCCAGUAGCGGCGAGCGAACGGGGAGCAGCCCAGAGUCUGAAUCAGCUUGUGUGUUAGUGGAACGGUCUGGAAAGUCCGACGGUACAGGGUGAUAGUCCCGUACACCAAAAUGCACAGGCUGUGAACUCGAAGAGUAGGGCGGGACACGUGGUAUCCUGUCUGAAUAUGGGGGGACCAUCCUCCAAGGCUAAAUACUCCUGACUGACCGAUAGUGAACCAGUACCGUGAGGGAAAGGCGAAAAGAACCCCGGCGAGGGGAGUGAAAAAGAACCUGAAACCGUGUACGUACAAGCAGUGGGAGCACCUUCGGGUGUGACUGCGUACCUUUUGUAUAAUGGGUCAGCGACUUAUAUUCUGUAGCAAGGUUAACCGUAUAGGGGAGCCGCAGGGAAACCGAGUCUUAACUGGGCGUUAAGUUGCAGGGUAUAGACCCGAAACCCGGUGAUCUAGCCAUGGGCAGGUUGAAGGUUGGGUAACACUAACUGGAGGACCGAACCGACUAAUGUUGAAAAAUUAGCGGAUGACUUGUGGCUGGGGGUGAAAGGCCAAUCAAACCGGGAGAUAGCUGGUUCUCCCCGAAAGCU
rnacentral:rRNA from 1 species